UACGUAGGAGGCAAGCGUUGUCCGGAAUUACUGGGCGUAAAGCGCGUGUAGGUGGUGGGACAAGUCUGCUGUGAAAGCGCCUGGCUUAACCGGGCGAGGUCGGCGGAAACUGUCCGACUCGAGGACGGUAGAGGGGGUGGAAUUCCCGGUGUAGUGGUGAAAUGCGUAGAGAUCGGGAGGAACACCUGUGGCGAAGGCGGCCCCCUGGGCCGGCCCUGACACUGAGACGCGGAAGGCGUGGGGAGCGAACGGG
rnacentral:rRNA from 1 species